AUGCGCAGCGUCAAGGUUUUGCAUCUCACGUCUAGUGGCCCUAAUCUUGAUGCCGCUAUAGUCUUCCUCAAAAAAAUUCCUUGCUUGGAGAAGCUCUACAUCACGUCAUGUCCUGGAAAUGAUAUGGAGAAAGUGCAUCAUCUUCAACCACAAGAUCCUAUUGAACGCCUCGAUCAUCUCAGAGAAGUAGAGUUGAAGUUUUAUAUUGGCAGCAGAACGGAUGUCAACUUUGCCAAGUUCUUUCUUCUGAAUGGUAAAGUGCUCGAGUUAAUGAGGUUUGGUGUCAAGGACCAAUAUACUGAGGAAUGGGUAGCUGAUCAACACAGCCAGCUACAUGUUGAUAGCAGGCCUUCUCCAAAUGCUCAACUUGAAUUUACAGCUGCUGAUGUUGGCAACCUUUUGACCAUAUUCUGUUCUUGA
rnacentral:rRNA from 1 species